rnacentral:rRNA from 1 species
UAACGGAAGUUUUCGGAUGGAAGUUGAAUUGACUGAGUGGCGGACGGGUGAGUAACGCGUGGGUAACCUGCCUUGUACUGGGGGACAACAGUUAGAAAUGACUGCUAAUACCGCAUAAGCGCACAGUAUCGCAUGAUACAGUGUGAAAAACUCCGGUGGUACAAGAUGGACCCGCGUCUGAUUAGCUAGUUGGUAAGGUAACGGCUUACCAAGGCGACGAUCAGUAGCCGACCUGAGAGGGUGACCGGCCACAUUGGGACUGAGACACGGCCCAAACUCCUACGGGAGGCAGCAGUGGGGAAUAUUGCACAAUGGGCGAAAGCCUGAUGCAGCGACGCCGCGUGAGUGAAGAAGUAUUUCGGUAUGUAAAGCUCUAUCAGCAGGGAAGAAAAUGACGGUACCUGACUAAGAAGCCCCGGCUAACUACGUGCCAGCAGCCGCGGUAAUACGUAGGGGGCAAGCGUUAUCCGGAUUUACUGGGUGUAAAGGGAGCGUAGACGGUAAAGCAAGUCUGAAGUGAAAGCCCGCGGCUCAACUGCGGGACUGCUUUGGAAACUGUUUAACUGGAGUGUCGGAGAGGUAAGUGGAAUUCCUAGUGUAGCGGUGAAAUGCGUAGAUAUCAGGAGGAACACCGAUGGCG